CCCUCCACGCCAGGGAAAUAUUUGACUCCUGUAGGAAUCCCACUGUAAAGUGGAAUUCUGCAUCACAAAAGAUCUCUUCUGAGCUUCCGUGCCCAGCAGAGUGUCCACUGGCCUCUAUGAGGUCCUAGAACCCACACUUCAUGAAUAAGGAUGUCUCAAAGGUUGUUGAGCACAUCAAUAACACUAUUGCACUUGCUCUGGUUAGCAAGAAACAGAAUGUAGUGGAACAAGAGAAAAUUGACCAACUGAUGAUUGACAUGGGUAGUGCUGAGAAUGAAUCUACAUUUGGUGCAAAUGCCAUCCUGAGCCAGAGUGUCUCUGGCUGUCUGCAAAUCUGGUCCUGUGCAAAGUGGGGAGCCCCUUCACCCUCACAUUGCUGACUUAGCUGGCAACCCUGAAGUCAUUCUGCUGGUGUCGACUUUCAAUGUGAUCAGUGGCAUUACUCAUACAGGCAACACACUGGUCUUGCAAGAGCAUGACUCUGACUGUAGAGGUAUCCUGUUUCUGAGAAGCUAUGGAGCAGAGGUUUACUAUAACCUGUAAAACGUCAUCAAGGAGAAGUGGAGGAAGGGCUCAUCAAUAUGGAUAAUGAAGGGAGAUUUUUCCAUCUAACAUCCUGGAGAACAAAGAAACCUGGAGCUGCUGAAGACUGCAAUUGCAAAGGCCAGCUACACUAACCAGGUUUUCAUCGGCAUGGAUGUAGCUGCCUCUGAGUUCUACAGGUUUGGCAAGUAUGACCUGGACUUCAAGUCUCCAGAUGACUCCAGCAGGCUGACCUGCACAAGUCCUUCAUCUAGAAGUAUGCAGUGGUGGGGACUGAAGACUCCUUUGACCAGGAUGACUGGGAAGCUUGGCAGAAGUUCUCAGCUAGUGCAGGCAUCCUGGUGGUAGAGGAUGAUCUCACAGUAACCAAUCCUAAAUGGAUUGCAAAGGAUGUGGGAAAGAAGUUCUGUAACUGCCUCCUGCUCGAAGUAAACUAAAUCAGCUCUGUGACUGAGUGUAUGCAGGCAUGUAAGCUUGCCCAGCCCAAUGGCUGGGGUGUCAUGGUGUCCCAUUGAUCUAGGGAGACUGAGGAUACUUUCAUCACUGACCUGGUUGAGGGGGAUGGGACUCUGCACUGGGCAGAUAAAGACUGAUGCCAAUUGCCUGAUCAAAUACAAUCAGAUCUGUAGAAUUGAAGAAGAGCUAGCAGCAAAGCCAGGUUUGCUUGCAGGUCCUUCAGGAACCCCCUGGCCAAGUAA
rnacentral:lncRNA from 1 species